rnacentral:misc_RNA from 1 species
GAAGUGCGAUAAGCAAUGCGAAUUGCAGAACCGUGAGUCAUCAGAUUUUUGAACGCAAUUGGCGUCGACUGGCUCUCCAGUCGGCAUGCUUGUUUCAGUGUCUUGUAAUCUCCUCACCAAAAUCUUAAUGCGAGAGAUACCCUUCUCUUGCCAAGUACGAAAGCACUCUGAGCUCUGCACGCGUCUUCGCUUCGGUGAAGUUCGCACUCAAUGCAGCAGUCACAUUGCUUACAAUGUGAACUCAUUGAGAGUUGAGUCAGCGCAGCUUGUCUGCAAGUGCUUAGAUCUCUAAACUCUUCUUGUAUCUGAAAUCAAGCAGGAUCACCCGCUGAACUUAA